rnacentral:rRNA from 1 species
GUGUCAGCAGCCGCGGUAAUACGAAGGGUGCAAGCGUUAAUCGGAAUUACUGGGCGUAAAGCGUGCGUAGAUGGCUGAUUAAGUCGGAUGUGAAAGCCCCGGGCUCAACCUGGGAAUGGCAUCCGAUACUGGUUGGCUAGAGUGCGGUAGAGGAGAGCGGAAUUCCCGGUGUAGCGGUGAAAUGCGUAGAGAUCGGGAGGAACAUCCGUGGCGAAGGCGGCUCUCUGGACCAGCACUGACGUUGAGGCACGAAAGCGUGGGGAGCAAACAGGAUUAGAUACCCCCGUAGUCC